rnacentral:rRNA from 1 species
AAAGAUUAAGCCAUGCAUGUCUAAGUACAAGCGAAAAUAAAGUGAAACCGCAAAAGGCUCAUUAUAUCAGUUAUGGUUCCUUAGAUCGUAUCCACAAUUACUUGGAUAACUGUGGUAAUUCUAGAGCUAAUACAUGCAAUUAAAGAGAAACCAGUAAAAUGGGAUCUCUGCUUUUAUUAGAUUUAAACCAAUGGGGAUUGCUUCGGCUUUCUCAAUUAAAAUGGUUGAACUCUGGAUAAUUUGUUGAUCGCAUGGUCUUGUACCGGCGACGGAUCUUUCAAAUGUCUGCCCUAUCAACUAUUGAAGGUAGUGUCUUGGACUACCUUGGUUGCAACGGGUAACGGGGAAUCAGGGUUCGAUUCCGGAGAGGGAGCCUGAGAAACGGCUACCACAUCUAAGGAAGGCAGCAGGCGCGUAAAUUACCCACUCCCGGCACGGGGAGGUAGUGACGAAAAAUAACAAUACAAGACUCACAUCCGAGGCCUUGUAAUUGGAAUGAGUAGACUUUAAAUCCUUCUACAAGGAUCAAUUGGUGGGCAAGUCUGGUGCCAGCAGCCGCGGUAAUUCCAGCACCAAUAGCGUAUAUUAAAGUUGUUGCGGUUAAAACGUUCGUAGUUGAACUUGUGUUUCGCACGGGCAAUACCUAGGACUAGGUAACUAGGACGGUAUUUGUCUUAUCUUUCCAUAUUCUUAAUAGGAAUUUGGAAAAAGUGCGUGAACGUAUUAUCGGCGUGUUUAUAUUUUAUUUUUAUAAAUGAAAUUAAUCACAUAAGCCCAUUUCAGUGCUCUUUACCGAGUGUUGUUGUGGGCCGAUACAAAUUACUUUGAACAAAUUAGAGUGCUUAAUGCAGGCUUGUAAUGCCUGAAUAUUUUGUGCAUGGAAUAAUGAAAUAGGACAUCUGUUCUACUUUCAUUGGUUUUUUAGACCAAGAUGUAAUGAUUAAUGGAAGCAGUUGGGGGCAUUAGUAUUACAACGCGAGAGGUGAAAUUCUUAGACCGUUGUAAGACUGACUAAAGCGAAAGCAUUUGCCAAAGAUGUUUUCACUU